rnacentral:misc_RNA from 1 species
GAUGAAGAACGCAGCGAAAUGCGAUAGGUAAUGUGAAUUGCAGAAUUCAGUGAAUCAUCGAAUCUUUGAACGCAUCUUGCGCUCCUUGGUAUUCUGAGGAGCAUGCCUGUUUGAGUGUCAUUAAAUUCUCAACUACACUGACUUUGAAUUGGUGUGGCUUGGAUUUGGGGGGAAAAUUGUUGUGGGCUUUUUGUAUAGUCUGCUCCCCUGAAAUUGAUUAGCGGUACCUUUGUGGAACUGUCUACAGGUGUGAUAAUUAUCUACAUCUUAGACAUCUGCUGGAAUGCUGCUUUCUAAACCUUACUUGUAUUGACAAUCUUGACCUCAAAUCAGGUAGGACUACCCGCUGAACUUAAGCAUAUCAAUAAGCGGAGGA